GACGAACGCUGGCGGCGUGCCUAAUACAUGCAAGUCGAACGCUGAAGGAGGAGCUUGCUUCUCUGGAUGAGUUGCGAACGGGUGAGUAACGCGUAGGUAACCUGCCUGGUAGCGGGGGAUAACUAUUGGAAACGAUAGCUAAUACCGCAUAAUAGUAGAUGUUGCAUGACAUUUGCCUAAAAGGUGCAAUUGCAUCACUACCAGAUGGACCUGCGUUGUAUUAGCUAGUUGGUGGGGUAACGGCUCACCAAGGCGACGAUACAUAGCCGACCUGAGAGGGUGAUCGGCCACACUGGGACUGAGACACGGCCCAGACUCCUACGGGAGGCAGCAGUAGGGAAUCUGCGGCAAUGGACGGAAGUCUGACCGAGCAACGCCGCGUGAGGGAAGAAGGUUUUCGGAUCGUAAAGCGCUGUUGUAAGAGAAGAACGAGUGUGAGAGUGGAAAGUUCACACUGUGACGGUAUCUUACCAGAAAGGGACGGCUAACUACG
rnacentral:rRNA from 1 species